rnacentral:sRNA from 1 species
UCUAGGUAUUGUGGUGCACACCUCUUAACCCAGCUACAGGGGAGGCUGGGAUCUCUUGAGCACAGUUCUAAGUUGCACUGAGUUGCCGUGUGCUUUAUGACUUGAUUGUCCACACUAAGUUUAAGCCCUGGGGGAGGAGGGAUCCACAGGGUUGCAUAAGGAAGAGAGAAUUGAUCCAUGUCAGAAAUGGAUCAUGUCAAAGCUCCCAACCUGGUCAGUAGUGGGAUCAGGCUCUUGUACUUCUAGCCUAGGCAAGAUAGGGAGAUCCAGU